GACGAACGCUGGCGGCAUGCUUAACACAUGCAAGUCUAGGGGCUCUUCGGAGCAACUGGCGCACGGGUGAGUAACACGUAGGUCAUCUGCCCCUAUCACAGGCAUAACAUCGGGAAACCGGUGCUAAUAUCUGAUGAGGUCUUGCGAUCAAAGCUUUCGGGCGGAUAGGGAUGAGCCUGCGGCUGAUUAGCUAGUUGGUGAGGUAACGGCUCACCAAGGCAACGAUCAGUAGCUGGUCUGAGAGGACGAACAGCCACACUGGAACUGAGACACGGUCCAGACUCCUACGGGAGGCAGCAGUGAGGAAUAUUGGUCAAUGGGAGCAAUCCUGAACCAGCAAUGCCGCGUGUGGGAUGACAGGGCUCAGCCUUGUAAACCACUGUCGGAUGGGACGAGAAGGUUCUUUUAGGACCCGGGACGGUACCAUCAAAGGAAGGGUCGGCUAACUACGUGCCAGCCGCCGCCGUAACAC
rnacentral:rRNA from 1 species